UCGGAUAUGGUGUAACGGCUAACAUUGCCGCCUCUCAUCUAUUGUUCCUGAAUCGCGGCAGCUCGGGGUUCGAUUCCCCGUAUCCGAA